GGCUCACAACGAACGCUGCGCUUCCUGCCUAACACAUGCAAGUCGAACGCACCUCUUCGCGAAUGGCGCACGGGUGAUUAACUCGUGGGAACCUGCCCUGAAGUGGGGGAUAACCCGAGCCAAAGCCGGGCUAAUACCGCAUACGCUCCUGACGGAUAAAGAUUUAUCGCUCUAAGACGGGCCCGCGUCGGAUUAUCUACUUGGUGAGGUAACGGCUCACCAGGCGACCAUCCGUGACUGGUCUGAUAGGAUGAUCAUCCACACUGGGACUGAUACACAGGCCAGACUCCUACGGGAGGCAGCAGUGGG
rnacentral:rRNA from 1 species